GAAGAAAAGGCACCUCCAUCACUUUGAAAUGUCAGAGGAAAUUUGGGCUCGCCCAUCGGCAGCCAGCCAGCACUGCCUGUGCUCCGUGCCAGCCCUUCAGGAAUCUACCUAGAGUCCCCUCUCCAGCAGGGUGGAGUCUAUUAUGGGUCGAUUAGCUGCUCCUUUUCAGCGCAGAUUUAACACUGUCCAAAAGGAAUUGAAGCUGGGAUUGGAACCUGGGUCUCUCUGGCUGGAAAGCUUCCCCCUUUCUCCAUGACAGCCUCGCCAUGGGAUGUUUGACUUAGCUGUCACAGUGCCCCAUGUGGACGGCCAGGGAAGGAAUGAGGAAUGUGCUUCUCAGUGGGCCGGGCCAGGUUGUUUCUCUGGAGAAUCCUGAUUAAUACAUGAAGGGUCAAGAUAAGUCUACUCCAGGUGAAGUGCAAAAAAUGAACAAGGAGGCCCAAUGAUGCAUCUGCUUAACUUUUCAGUUGUCAAUGCAAAUUAAGCACAAAGAGGACAGAGUUGAUGACAUAUCAGGAACAUUUUUUACUUCCGGAGCAGGUCUGAGUCCCAGCGGAAGACUGAGGCCGACUGAGCCAGAGGCACCACUUCAAUAGGUCACUGGUCUCUGCAGGGAAAGGAAAAGGUGUAAGAGUUCUCCCUGCAUAGAUGCUAUUUGUGACUUGGAUGUUUUCUUUCUAAUACAAAUGCAUCAAAGUGUUCACAGGAAUCUAGCUAUAUGCAAGAAGUCUGGAUUAUCUGCCUGAGAGAACUGGCCAGUAUCUCACCCAUGAGCACCAGAACCCAUUUCUAGAUUACUAAGAAAGGAGCACAAGAACACUGUGUAUAAGGCUCUGUGUUCCUAGAACUUUCUAAAUUUUACUUAAUGCAGGUUAACUUCAUCAACCCUGGUGAAAAUGCCACCUCCUCAUGAGGAAGCCUUCCCCAUUUGCUCUGUCUCAGAGACACUUGACUCCAUGGACUUCUCUGCAAUUCUGUUCUGUGUAGGACUGCCUAGUGCCUAGCCUUCUUGUGAUGUUCCUUGCUUAUGUCUUGUCUCCCCAUUUGAUUUGGAGGGUCCUGGGCAGGGACCACUGGGCUGGGCUCUAGUAGGCCCCCUGUAAAGACCUGUUGAGUAAUUAGAAGAGACAGUGGCCCCAUCUGGGUGAAUCCUGAAUUUAAUCAAUUUCCUGGAUCCUUGUUUAUUUUGCAAGUAGGAUAAGAAUGUCAUUGAAAUCCUAUCAUGUAGUCAUGGAAGGGCUAAUACAGUCAGUGUACUGCUACUCACUAAGCAUGCUGUUUAGCUCAGCGGUUUUUUGUUUUGUUUUGAUAACAAGACUGUCUCGAUGAAAGAAGCAGGGCGUUGUUUAAUAUUCUAA
rnacentral:lncRNA from 1 species